rnacentral:rRNA from 1 species
UAGGGAAUCUUCCACAAUGGACGCAAGUCUGAUGGAGCAACGCCGCGUGAGUGAAGAAGGUUUUCGGACGUAAAGCUCUGUUGUUGGUGAAGAAGGAUAGAGGUAGUAACUGGCCUUUAUUUGACGGUAAUCAACCAGAAAGUCACGGCUAACUACGUGCCAGCAGCCGCGGUAAAUCGUAGGUGGCAAGCGUUGUCCGGAUUUAUUGGGCGUAAAGCGAGCGCAGGCGGAAGAAUAAGUCUGAUGUGAAAGCCCUCGGCUUAACCGAGGAAUUGCAUCGGAAACUGUUUUCUUGAGUGCAGAAGAGGAGAGUAGAACUCCAUGUGUAGCGGUGGAAUGCGUAGAUAUAUGGAAGAAUACCAGUGGCGAAGGCGGCUCUCUGGUCUGCAACUGACGCUGAGGCUCGAAAGCAUGGGUAGCGAACAGGAUUAGAUACCCUGGUAGUCCAUGCCGUAAACGAUGAGUGCUAAGUGUUGGGAGGCUUCCGCCUCUCAGUGCUGCAGCUAACGCAUUAAGCACUCCGCCUGGGGGAGUACGACCGCAAGGUUGAAAC